AGAGUUUGAUCCUGGCUCAGAUUGAACGCUGGCGGCAGGCCUAACACAUGCAAGUCGAGCGGAUGAUGGGAGCUUGCUCCCGGAUUCAGCGGCGGACGGGUGAGUAAUGCCUAGGAAUCUGCCUGGUAGUGGGGGACAACGUUUCGAAAGGAACGCUAAUACCGCAUACGUCCUACGGGAGAAAGCAGGGGACCUUCGGGCCUUGCGCUAUCAGAUGAGCCUAGGUCGGAUUAGCUAGUUGGUGGGGUAAAGGCCUACCAAGGCGACGAUCCGUAACUGGUCUGAGAGGAUGAUCAGUCACACUGGAACUGAGACAUGGUCCAGACUCCUACGGGAGGCAGCAGUGGGGAAUAUUGGACAAUGGGCGAAAGCCUGAUCCAGCCAUGCCGCGUGUGUGAAGAAGGUCUUCGGAUUGUAAAGCACUUUAAGUUGGGAGGAAGGGCAGUAAGUUAAUACCUUGCUGUNUUGACGUUACCAACAGAAUAAGCACCGGCUAACUUCGUGCCAGCAGCCGCGGUAAUACGAAGGG
rnacentral:rRNA from 1 species